AAUAUUUGAGAGAGCAAACCGUGAGAGAGAAGGGAGAAAGAAGAAGAAGAGAAAAGAGGGGAAAAUAAGGGAAAAAGGAAAGGAGUUGGAGGAAAUAAGUAAAAAGGGGUAAGAUUAUGCUUUAAUGUGUAUAAUAUGUUUUCUUUAGCUUUAAUUUCGGUUUUGAUAAAUGUUAGGGUUUUGAAUAUUGUGUUUUGAGUUUGAUUGAUGAAUUAAUUGGAAGGUUAUGAGUUGAUUGUUGUGGGUAAUUGGUUAAUUAGUUGAUUGUGAGAGAUUGGAGGUAAAGAUGAUGAUUUUGAGUUAUGAUUUUAUUUGAAUGGUGAAAUUGUGUUAGAAAUUAGGAGAUGACAGUAGGUAAUCUGUAAAAUUCUGGGUUUGAGGUUGAAGAUGACGAAAAUUCAAUUUGGUCCCUCAAUUUGUGAAAUUACAGUUUAGUCCCUAAACUUUGGGAAAAUUAUAAUUUGACCCCUAAUUGUAUUUUGAGAUUCUGGACAGUGUUAUUAUGAGGUUAAGGAUGAUGAAUCUGAGUUUGAUAAUUGAUUUGGAAUAUUUUCAGUUUGGUCCCUUAAUUUUGGGAAUUUACAUUUUAGUCCCUGAACUUUAUGAAAAUUACAGUUCGGUCCCUGGUUCGUUCUAGACAGAAUUAAGGACGGUUUAUGGGUGAAAAUUCAGUAUAGUUAUGUAUUUUCCAGAUUGGUCCAAUUUUGGUAAAAUUACGUUUUGGUCCUUGUUUUGGAAAAUUGUCGUUUUAGUCCAUAAACUUAGGAGACUAAAGCUGAUUUUAUUUUAUGCAUUGGGAUCUUUUGUUUGAGUUAUUUUUGAGUAUAUUUCAUAUAUUGUUGUAGGUUCUCCUAACAAUCCUCAAUAGGAUUUUCGGGUCUUUCGUCUGACAUUCCUUUUAGUUCUAUAUUUUCCGGGUGAGUGGGAUAAUCUUUAAUAUGCAUAUAUGAUAAGUAAAUAUGUAUGUUGAUUAUACAAUGAGUACAACUCGUUAAUUCCUUGAAUAAUUAUAUAUGUUGCUUAUUUUCCAAGUACUCAUUUAUUCUUGAAUUUGCACUCGCAAUCUGUCAAAGUAAAUCCUAUUUGAUAUGAUAUACGUUUCUUUGAUGAUUAUAUGAAUAUCUAUUAUGCCUUGAUAUGGGACUUGUCAGUAACUCCAUGCUAACGGAGAGUAGUUAGCCUGUGUGCACAUAGUAUUCUGUAUGUAUACCUAGCUGGUGAGAGAGGCAUCAGCCUGUGGCGACUGAUCAUCCCACAGUGGUCACCUUCGGGUGUCAUCUGGUCUGGUCACCUUCGGGUGUCAUCUGGUCACCUUCGGGUGUCAUCUGAUCUCUGACAUAUAGUCCACUACGUUAUGAUGAUACGUUUAGUAUGUAUAUGAUAUGUAUAUGUAUAUGUACAUCAAGAUAAAUGAUCUCAAGAAUAUCUAAAAUGUAUAUUAAUUAUUAUUCCCUCACUGAGUUGGUUGAACUCACCCCUCAUUCUUAAUAUUAUUUCAGGUUCUUAGUUUCUGAUAGCAGGUGAACCUUGUUGAGUGUUCCUGCUUCUUCAGUUUUGGGUCGGUAUGCCUUGCUUAUGUUUCAAGGUUGUUUGAUUCGAUGUCUUAGGCGCUCCACUAUUACCUUAUUUUGAUUAAGUUUGGAUUUUGACAAUGUAAUGAGUAUUAUGGAUUAUUGUUUUGUUUUAAUUACUGAUGAGGAGUUUUAAAUUAUCUUUUGGUUUCAUCAGUUUUGAAUAAUAUAAGAUUUCUGAAGAUUAUGAAAUGCUGCGUAUUUUUGAAAUAAAGUAUUCUUUCGAUAUGUCCGUUUUGAGGCUUAGCGCGGGCGGGGUGUCCUUCCGGCACCGCUCCCGCGUUGCCGGUCACGGACCCGGGACUCGGGUCGUGACAA
rnacentral:lncRNA from 1 species